GCCGAAUUUUCCCAUCUUCUAGUCCAAUCGGCAAGUUCUUGGAUUCAGAAAACGGUGUUGUGGGUGGAAGUAGGGGAGACAAAGAGUUGGGAGAAGGGAUAGCCAAGGAAGGUAAGGGAGAGUUUAAGGUAAAAGUGAGGGCCAAGGAAAGCAGAUUAGUGAAGAGAAUGGGUUUUGGGGUUGGAUUUUGUAUAUUAGAUUUCGCAAAAUUGAAGUGAUGAGGAGAAAUUUUCUGAGUUGGGUUCCUGGAAGGAAGUGAAGGAAGAACAUGACCAAUCAAAC
rnacentral:misc_RNA from 1 species